rnacentral:rRNA from 1 species
AUUGAACGCUGGCGGAACGCUUUACACAUGCAAGUCGAACGGUAACGUGGGGAGGAGCUUGCUCCGCCCCGACGACGAGUGGCGAACGGGUGAGUAAUACAUCGGAACGUGUCCGCUCGUGGGGGACAACCAGCCGAAAGGUUGGCUAAUACCGCAUGAGUUCUACGGAAGAAAGAGGGGGACCCGCAAGGGCCUCUCGCGAGCGGAGCGGCCGAUGACUGAUUAGCCGGUUGGUGAGGUAACGGCUCACCAAAGCAACGAUCAGUAGCUGGUCUGAGAGGACGACCAGCCACACUGGGACUGAGACACGGCCCAGACUCCUACGGGAGGCAGCAGUGGGGAAUUUUGGACAAUGGGCGCAAGCCUGAUCCAGCUAUUCCGCGUGUGGGAUGAAGGCCCUCGGGUUGUAAACCACUUUUGUAGAGAACGAAAAGACAUCUUCGAAUAAAGGAUGUUGCUGACGGUACUCUAAGAAUAAGCACCGGCUAACUACGUGCCAGCAGCCG